GGGUGCCAUUACAACCAUUGCCUGAGUCUCUCCAGUUGCACCUUUUAGAACUGUAUCCUGUCUUGGAGACUAUCCAGAAAUAUCUUUGGCCUCGUUUAUGUACACUUGAUCAACGUACUUUGUAAGUUCUUGACACUUUGGCUGCAUAAUUCAAUGACUGUAAUAGAUAUACCGACUUGGAUGCAGUCAGCAGUUCUCCAGUUGAUUUCUACUCACUAAACAUUAAUUGGAUUGGCAAAAUAACUCUAGCUAUAUAUUGAAACUACACAGGUAUGAGCUACAUUACCAAAUGAUUACCUUUGGGAAGGUCUUCUGUACAAAAAGCAAGCCAAACUGCAAUUCAUGUCCAAUGAGAGGAGAAUGCAAGCACUUUGCAAGUGCCUUUGCUAGUGCAAGGCUAGCACUUCCAGCGGGUGAGGAGAAAAGCUUGGUGAGCUCGGAGAUACCUACUGCUUCU